GUGGGGAAUAUUGCGCAAUGGGGGAAACCCUGACGCAGCAACGCCGCGUGAUUGAAGAAGGCUUUCGGGUUGUAAACUUCUUUUACCAGGGACGAAACAAAUGACGGUACCUGGUGAAUAAGCCCCGGCUAACUCCGUGCCAGCAGCCGCGGUAAGACGGAGGGGGCAAGCGUUGUUCGGAAUUAUUGGGCGUAAAGGGCUCGUAGGCGGAUCUGUAGGUCUGGCGUGAAAUCUCCACCGCUUAAAGGGGAGCUGCCGCUGGAUACUGCAGAUCUGGAGUUCGGUAGAGGAUCGUGGAAUUUCGGGUGUAGCGGUGGAAUGCGUAGAUAUCCGAAAGAACACCAGUGGCGAAGGCGACGAUCUGGGCCUGAACUGACGCUGAGGAGCGAAAGCUAGGGGAGCAAACGGGAUUAGAAACCCUAGUAGUCC
rnacentral:rRNA from 1 species